AGAGUUUGAUCAUGGCUCAGGAUGAACGCUGGCGGCGUGCUUAACACAUGCAAGUCGAACGGGACUUUAGAUAGACAUCGUAUUCGUAUGAUAGACGUUUAAAGCUUAGUGGCGAACGGGUGAGUAACACGUGAGUAAUCUGCCUCAAGCUGGGGAAUAACAACGGGAAACCGUUGCUAAUACCACAUAGAGUACAUAGAUGGCAUCAUUUAUGUAUAAAAGGCCAUAGUGCCGGCCUGAGACGAGCUCGCGUCCGAUUAGGUAGUUGGUAAAUUAAUAGCUUACCAAGCCACGAUCGGUAGCCGGACUGAGAGGUCGACCGGCCACAUUGGGACUGAGAACGGCCCAGACUCCUACGGGAGGCAGCAGUGGGGAAUAUUGGGCAAUGGACGCAAGUCUGACCCAGCGAUGCCGCGUGAAGGAUGGAAGGCCCUCGGGUUGUAAACUUCUUUAGACAGGGAAGAAAGAAAUGACAUUACCUGUAGAAUAAGCCACGGCUAACUACGUGCCAGCCGCCGCGGUAAUUC
rnacentral:rRNA from 1 species